AUUGAACGCUGGCGGCAGGCCUAACACAUGCAAGUCGAACGAGUGGCGGACGGGUGAGUAAUGUCUGGGAAACUGCCCGAUGGAGGGGGAUAACUACUGGAAACGGUAGCUAAUACCGCAUACCAUCGGAUGUGCCCAGAUGGGAUUAGCUAGUAGGUGGGGUAAGGGCUCACCUAGGCGACGAUCCCUAGCUGGUCUGAGAGGAUGACCAGCCACACUGGAACUGAGACACGGUCGUGAUUCCUACGGGAGGAAGCGGUGGGGAAUAUUGCACAAUGGGCGCAAGCCUGAUGCAGCCAUGCGGCGUGUAUGAAGCAGGCCUUCGGGUUGUAAAGUACUUUCAGCGGGGCGGCGUUACCCGCAGAAGAAGCACCGGCUAACUCCGUGCCAGCAGCCGCGGUAAUUC
rnacentral:rRNA from 1 species